UACAGAGGUCUCAAGCGUUGUUCGGAUUCAUUGGGCGUAAAGGGUGCGUAGGCGGCUAGGUAAGUCCGAUGUGAAAUCCCGGAGCUUAACUCCGGAACUGCAUUUGAUACUGCUUUGCUUGAGGACUGGAGAGGAGAUCGGAAUUCACGGUGUAGCAGUGAAAUGCGUAGAUAUCGUGAGGAAGGCCAGUGGCGAAGGCGGAUCUCUGGACAGUUCCUGACGCUGAGGCACGAAGGCCAGGGGAGCAAACGGG
rnacentral:rRNA from 1 species